rnacentral:rRNA from 1 species
CGGUGCUUUUUCUUCUUCGGAGGGAGAAGUAACCCGGCGGACGGCUCAGAUAACACGUGGACAACUUGCCCUUGGGACCGGGAUAACCCCUGGGAAACUGGGGCUAAUACCCGGAUAGAACAUCGGUUGCUGGAAUGCACGAUGUUCGAAAGCUGAGGCACCCAAGGAUAGGUCUGCGGCCGAUUAGGUUGUUGUUGAUGUGACGGAUCAACAAGCCUACGAUCGGUACGGGUUGUAAGAACCAAUACCCCGGAAAUGGGUUCUGAGAAAAGAACCCAGGUCCUACGGGAC